rnacentral:rRNA from 1 species
UCUCUCCAUUCGAUUAGAGUUUGAUCAUGGCUCAGAGUGAUCUCUCGCGGCAGGCCUCAUACAUGCAAGUCGAACGGCAGCACAGCAGAGCUUGCUCUGUGGGUGGCGAGUGGCGGACGGGUGAGGAAUACAUGGGAAUCUGCCCAGUCGUGGGGGAUAACGUAUGGAAACGUACGCUAAUACCGCAUGCGCCCUACGGGGGAAAGCCGGGGACCGCAAGGCCUGGCGCGAUUGGAUGAGCCCAUGUUCGAUUAGCUAGUUGGCGGGGUAAGGGCCCACCAAGGCGACGAUCGAUAGCUGGUCUGAGAGGAUGAUCAGCCACACUGGAACUGAGACACGGUCCAGACUCCUACGGGAGGCAGCAGUAGGGAAUAUUGGACAAUGGGGGGCAACCCUGAUCCAGCCAUGCCGCGUGAGUGAAGAAGGCCCUCGGGUUGUAAAGCUCUUUUGUCCGGGAAAGAAAAGCAAUCGGUUAAUACCCGGGUUGUUCUGACGGGUACCGGGAAGAAUAAGCACCGGGCUAACUUUCGUGCCAGCAGCCGCGGUAAUACGAAUGGUGCAAGCGUUACUCGGAAUUACUGGGGCGUAAAGCGUGCGUAAGGUGGUUCGUUAAGUCUGAUGUGAAAGCCCUGGGCUCAACCUGGGAAUGGCAUUGGAUACUGGCCGGGCUAGAAGUUGCCGGUAGAAGGGUUAGUUG